UGGGAUUGGGUCACAGGGGGAAACUUGAAUGCUCUUUAUUUUCGGAGCCUUGACUGACAUGGACAUGUCCAGCCACGCAGAGCUAUGAAAUGCUUCAAGACCACAUGGGCAGAGCAGACGCUUUCAAGUCUUUGCCAAGAUAAAGAGAUAAAAUAUCCAAGCUGAUUUUGAUUUUUCCUAGAAAUUUUAUUUCAUCCGACGAGUGGGGAUCGCCUUAUCCGUGUUGGCCGAGUUGACAUGGUGUUUGUAUAGUUGAGUUUGUGAGCUGAUCCAGUAAGUGUUGGCUACACGAUCAAAGUCCACAAAACCCUUGAGAAGGAUGAGGAGACAGGAUUCACAACCUAAGUAAAAGGGCUGGCUCUUUGAAAGUAGAAGGGACUCAGCAUCAAUUGUAAUCUUGAAGGAAAAAGGAUCCAUGCCCAGCAUAGGACUUGAACUCACGACUCCAAG